rnacentral:rRNA from 1 species
GUCUACGGCUGUACCACCCUGCCUGUGCCGGAUCCCCUCUGACCCGGGAGCUGAGCAGGGCUGGGCCUGGCUGGUACUGGGACUGGAGAAUCUUGAGUGCCUAACACU